GUUCAUUUAUUCAUGAUUUUGCGGAAAUUAAAAAAUUAACCAAAGUUUGGAAUUUUUCAUAUUUAUUUGUUAUUUCGUUGUAAAUAUCAUUUUAGUCAAUUUAAAGUCUAAAUUGUGUACUUUUGUUCUUAACCAGCGUUUCAUUUGGACUCGUGUGCUUCGAAUGAAAUGUAUAGAAGAGUGAUGAAUAACACUCAGCCCGGCACAAACUCGCAUUAUUAUGUGGCAUUUUAACUCAUUUAGUUUGCGCCAAAUAUUCUGUGAUUUCAUUAAAUUUUAAAAUAGUU